CCCGGUGUAGCGGUGAAAUGCGUAGAUAUCGGGAAGAACACCAGUGGCGAAGGCGCUCUGCUGGGCCAUCACUGACGNUCAUGGACGAAAGCCAGGGGAGCGAAAGGGAUUAGAUACCCCUGUAGUCCUGGCCGUAAACGAUGAACACUAGGUGUCGGGGGAAUCGACCCCCUCGGUGUCGUAGCCAACGCGUUAAGUGUUCCGCCUGGGGAGUACGCACGCAAGUGUGAAACUCAAAGGAAUUGACGGGGGCCCGCACAAGCGGUGGAGUAUGUGGUUUAAUUCGAUGCAACGCGAAGAACCUUACCAGGGUUUGACAUCCUGCGAAUCUCUUGGAAACAGGAGAGUGCCUUCGGGAACGCAGUGACAGGUGGUGCAUGGCUGUCGUCAGCUCGUGUCGUGAGAUGUUGGGUUAAGUCCCGCAACGAGCGCAACCCACGUCUUUAGUCGCCAGCAUUUAGUUGGGCACUCUAGAGAGACUGCCGGUGAUAAACCGGAGGAAGGUGUGGAUGACGUCAAGUCAUCAUGCCCCUUACAUCCUGGGCUACACACGUACUACAAUGCUACGGACAAAGGGCAGCAAGUUCGCGAGGACAAGCAAAUCCCAUAAACCGUGGCUCAGUUCAGAUCGUAGGCUGCAACUCGCCUACGUGAAGGCGGAAUCGCUAGUAAUCGCAGGUCAGCAUACUGCGGUGAAUACGUUCCCGGGCCUUGUACACACCGCCCGUCACACCAUGGAAGUUGGCCACGCCCGAAGCCGUUACUCCAACCCUUGUGGAGGAGGACGUCGAAGGUGGGGCUGAUGACUGGGGUGAAGUCGUAACAAGGUAGCC
rnacentral:rRNA from 1 species